rnacentral:lncRNA from 10 species
GUGUGAGGAGUGCAGAUGAAGGACACAGCAGAAGCACUGGCCUUGGGAUCAUUUCUUGGAACAACUGAAGCAGCUCAGGCAAAAGAAAGGAUAUGUGUAAGCUCUGUCUAAGAAGAAAGGCAGAGGGUGAAGUUCAAGAAGCCCUGCUAGCCCUGGGAGGGGCAGUCCCUUCAGGAUCAGCAAGGCCCCAAGAUGUCAAAACAUCAAAAAUACAGUAAAUAAAAAAGCAUGAUUAAUACAGACAGCAAGCUUCUAAGGAUGGGAACAAAGGGGAGUGGUGGGGAGUAGGGAAGAAGCAAAGGUUUAGAUGCAGGUAAGAGGAACAGAGACAGACUGAGAGGAUAGCUGUGUUUCAAAGUGUGAGUGUAUGUUUUUAUGUUUUAAAGAAAGAAAGAGGCCAGGCGCGGUGGCUCAUGCCUGUAAUCCCAGCACUUUGGGAGGCUGAGGCAGGUGGAUCACCUGAGCUCAGGAGUUCGAGAUGAGCCUGGCCAAUGUGGAGAAACCCCACCUCUAUGAAAACCACAAGAAUUAGCCAGGCGUGGUGGCACACCUGUAAUCCCAGCUACUCUGGAGGCUGAGGUGGGAGAAUCACUUGAACCUGGGAGGUGGAGGUUGCAGUGAAUUAAGAUCGCACCACUGCACUCCAGCCUGAGUGAUAGAGCAAGACUCCAUACCAAAAAAAAAAAAAAAAAAAAAAAAAAGAGAGAGAGAGAGAAAGAGAAAGAGAGAUGGCAGCUGCAACAAGGAAUGAAACAUUGGACAAAGAACCAGGACAAGUAGAGGAAAUGCUCAGGACACUUUGCUGCAUGACAGACAUCCAAAUCAUGCAGAUGUGUUGACAAACACCAGUCCAAGGACACAAACCUGCAUCUUACCCAGCCUCUCAGCAUCAAACACUUUUGCAUGGCACCAAGUAGGAUCAUCUCAGGAAAUGUGUGUUCAAGUGAGUUGAACCAGAUGUUUUACUGAAAACCCUUAGGCCCGGAGAUGAAACUUUUUACCUAGAAACUUUUUGAACAAUGGAAUGGGGUUCUCCUAGACCAAGGCGGCUUGUUGCUGCUGCAUCAGCCUGUGAGUUCCAGAGGAGAUUAGCGAUGAAAUACCAAACCCUUACCCAGAACACUUUGUAGAAGCACCACCUUGGCUUUGAAGUCCCAGGACUCACCUGGUAUGAAAUCCCCCUUUUACAGAGGAGCUCCAUGAGGUCAAAUGAUUUACCCAAGAUCAUAAAGGUAAAUGGUGGAACAGAGCUGUGAAGCCCAAGUUCAUCUGACUUCAAUACCUGGACAUGCAAGCAUUAAUUUCAGAUAUCUAAACUUCAGGUAAGAUGCGUCCCUGAACAUGUUUUUCCAGAAGACAAGGAAGCGAUUGUUCUAGAUGAGAACCCAAGGGAAGUCCAUAAAGCCAGAGAGUCCUUUUAAAGCAUAAGUGCAGUUAAGUGACACUAGGAGAUGAAGCAAUUCUUAGUGUAUUAGCAUGUGUGUAUGGAUGGGUGCACAUACGUGUUGCUGCAUGUACAGGUGCAUUACCAAGGCUAUGCCCCUUUUGCUAUUGGUUAGUUUUAUUUGCUCCAUAUACAUGCAUUGCAGAUAGGUUGGUAGACAGACAAACAGACUUACAUAUAUGCAGAUGGACAGAUUAAGGGGGAAGGGGUCAUAAAGGCAUCUCAACUACCCUGGUGGUUGACUCUAAUAAAACAGCUCUGUUGGAAUAAUGCAGUGUCUGAGAGAUGGGGUGUAAUAUGGUUAAAUGCUUUUACAGUUCCCCAUUAAAGUAAGAGGAUG